rnacentral:rRNA from 1 species
AUUGAACGCUGGCGGCAGGCCUAACACAUGCAAGUCGAGCGCGCGGCGGCCGGGUGUGUAAUGUAUGGGGCUCUGCCCGAUAGAGGGGUAUAAACACUGGAAACGGUGGCUAAUACCGCAUACUAUGGUAUGAACCCAUCUGGGAUUAGCUAGUAGGUGGGGUAAAGGCUCACCUACGCCACGAUCUCUCGAUGGUCUGAGAGGAUGAUCAGCCACACUGGAACUGAGACACGGUCAAGACUCCUACGGGAGGCAGCAGUGGGGAAUAUUGCACAAUGGGCGCAAGCCUGAUGCAGCCAUGCCGCGUGUAUGAAGAAGGCCUUCGGGUUGUAAAGUACUUUCAGCGGGGAGGCGUUACCCGCAGAAGAAGCACCGGCUAACUCCGUGCCAGCAGCCGCGGUAAUAC